GGUAAAUUAGUCGCUUGUCAAUUUCUCAUCUCUGGGAGAGUUCCGAAGAGCAUAUUGUAUCCUUAACAACUAAUUAGCAUCACUGAUUUGAAUUUGUUGAAGCUGUUAGAUCGAAUAUGGGGUAUACGAAGGGCCUUUUUUCCGCCAUAACCAGAGACGGAGAGCCGCUAGUGAAGAAACUGGCUGCAGUGUCUGUAUUUGGGGUGUUGCCUGGAGCCAUGAUCGCUUCUCUUAUCUAUUCUCCUCCUGAUUUCAUCUACAACAAGAACGCUCCUUCCAAAUCUACCAAUUAGAGUCUUAAAAGGGUAUGUAUGUAUGUCUGGACCUCGAGGAUGGACUGCAAUGCAAUAAUUAUUAGAUAGUUUUGAAGCAAUUGUUAUGUAUUAUUCACUAUCCUAAAAUCCUAAAAUUAUGGAUGAAUGAGACAAUAUUGUUUUUUCAAUGGAGUUGCAUUUUUUGGAUGCAAAGAGUGUUAUAAGUGCAA